UCGUGACUUUAAUAAAAUCUGUCAUUCAACCUUCUUUUCUAGCUCCAAAAAUGGACCUUUGAUAACCGUCUAAAUACCCUUAUAUUAUAUGCCACUCUUUUAGAAUUCCUGAACAUUAAGACAAACGAUAAAAAUUCAAUCCACUGACGCAUCCAGAUAACUUGAAUCUCACAAAACUAUUUUCUAUAAGAGUCAGAAGAAUUUCUAUAAAACUUCGAAUUUGGAUCGAAAGAGCCUUGAGGCGGAGGAGCUGAAACUUGAUUUGCGUAAUACAUUUGUGGAUUAGCUUGUGAAUAAUAACCGAUACUGUCAUUGUAUAUGGGAUGAAAUGGCGGGAAUGAAGGCUGGGGAUAGUUAUAAUUAUAAUACAUCGGAGACUGAGUUGAAUAAUUUAUUGAUGAUUCACUUAACGAGUAUAGCGAUGAACUUGGUGGUUCCUGAGUGAAGCGUUUGGCUGGCGGAUUGGAUCCUUGAUUGGUCUGAUAAAACGGAUAAUUUCGAACAUUGUUCUGAUUAAGUGACUGGAAAUUUGCUUCGCCAGGCAAGGCUUGAUUACCAGAAACCAU